UACGGAGGGUGCAAGCGUUGUCCGGAUUUAUUGGGUUUAAAGGGUGCGUAGGCGGCCCGUUAAGUCAGUGGUGAAAGCCUCCAGCUCAACUGGAGAACUGCCAUUGAUACUGGCGGGCUUGAGUACAGACGAGGUAGGCGGAAUUGAUUGUGUAGCGGUGAAAUGCAUAGAUACAAUCAAGAACACCGAUUGCGUAGGCAGCCUACUAGGCUGUAACUGACGCUGAGGCACGAAAGCGUGGGGAGCGAACAGG
rnacentral:rRNA from 1 species